rnacentral:rRNA from 1 species
AGUAAAUAGAUACCCUGGUAGUCCACGCCGUAAACGAUGAGUACUAGGUGUAGGAGGUAUCGACUCCUUCUGUGCCGCAGUUAAACACAAUAAGUACUCCGCCUGGGAAGUACGGUCGCAAGAUUAAAACUCAAAGGAAUUGACGGGGGCCCGCACAAGCAGCGGAGCAUGUGGUUUAAUUCGAAGCAACGCGAAGAACCUUACCUAGACUUGACAUCCCCUGAAUAACGUAGAGAUACGCGAAGCCCUUCGGGGCAGGGAGACAGGUGGUGCAUGGUUGUCGUCAGCUCGUGUCGUGAGAUGUUGGGUUAAGUCCCGCAACGAGCGCAACCCUUAUCAUUAGUUGCUACCAUUUAGUUGAGCACUCUAGUGAGACUGCCCGGGUUAACCGGGAGGAAGGCGGGGAUGACGUCAAAUCAUCAUGCCCCUUAUGUCUAGGGCUACACACGUGCUACAAUGGUGAGAACAACGAGAUGCAAUACCGCGAGGUGGAGCAAAACUUCAAAACUCAUCUCAGUUCGGAUUGUAGGCUGAAACUC